GAUGAACGCUAGCGGCAGGCUUAAUACAUGCAAGUCGAGGGACAGCACAGGUAGCAAUACUGGGCGGUAACCGGCAAACGGGUGCGGAACACGUACACAACCUUCCUUUAAGUGGGGGAUAGCCCAGAGAAAUUUGGAUUAAUACCCCGUAAUAUAGUUGAAUGGCAUCAUUUGAUUAUUAUAGCUACGGCGCUUAAUGAUGGGUGUGCGGCUGAUUAGAUAGUUGGCGGGGUAACGGCCCACCAAGUCUACGAUCAGUAGCGGAUGUGAGAGCAUGAUCAGCCACACGGGCACUGGGACACGGGCCCGACUCCUACGGGAGGCAGCAGUAAGGAAUAUUGGUCAAUGGACGCAAGUCUGAACCAGCCAUGCCGCGUGAAGGAUUAAGGUCCUCUGGAUUGUAAACUUCUUUUAUUUGGGACGAAAAAGGGCCUUUCUAGGUCAACUGACGGUACCAGAUGAAUAAGCACCGGCUAACUCCGUGCCAGCCGCCGCCGUAACAC
rnacentral:rRNA from 1 species